CAGGCUUAACACAUGCAAGUCGAGGGGCAGCGGGGUAGUGCUUGCACUACUGCCGGCGACCGGCGCACGGGUGAGUAACACGUAUGGAACCUGCCCGCAGCAGGGGGAUAAGCGGAAGAAAUUCCGUCUAAUACCGCGUAAGAACGUUGGGAGGCAUCUCCCGAUGUUUAAAGAUUUAUCGGCUGCGGAUGGCCAUGCGGCGCAUUAGCUAGUCGGCGGGGUAACGGCCCACCGAGGCGACGAUGCGUAGGGGUUCUGAGAGGAAGGUCCCCCACACUGGUACUGAGACACGGACCAGACUCCUACGGGAGGCAGCAGUGAGGAAUAUUGGUCAAUGGCCGAGAGGCUGAACCAGCCAAGUCGCGUGAGGGAAGACGGCCCUACGGGUUGUAAACCUCUUUUGUCGGGGAGCAAAGCGAACCACGUGUGGUUCAUUGAGAGUACCCGAAGAAAAAGCAUCGGCUAACUCCGUGCCAGCAGCCGCGGUAAUACGGAGGAUGCGAGCGUUAUCCGGAUUUAUUGGGUUUAAAGGGUGCGCAGGCGGAGGUGCAAGUCAGCGGUCAAAUUGCGGGGCUCAACCCCGUACUGCCGUUGAAACUGCAUCCCUUGAGUGCGCGAGAAGUAUGCGGAAUGCGUGGUGUAGCGGUGAAAUGCAUAGAUAUCACGCAGAACUCCGAUUGCGAAGGCAGCAUACCGGCGCGCAACUGACGCUCAUGCACGAAAGCGUGGGUAUCGAACAGGAUUAGAUACCCUGGUAGUCCACGCAGUAAACGAUGAACACUAACUGUUCGGCCAGAAUGAUGGCUGAGUGGUACAGCGAAAGCGUUAAGUGUUCCACCUGGGGAGUACGCCGGCAACGGUGAAACUCAAAGGAAUUGACGGGGGCCCGCACAAGCGGAGGAACAUGUGGUUUAAUUCGAUGAUACGCGAGGAACCUUACCCGGGCUCAAACGACACAGGAAUACUUUUGAAAGGAGGUAGCCCUACGGGGUCUGUGUCGAGGUGCUGCAUGGUUGUCGUCAGCUCGUGCCGUGAGGUGUCGGCUUAAGUGCCAUAACGAGCGCAACCCCUAUCGCCAGUUACCAUCAAGUAAAGUUGGGGACUCUGGCGAGACUGCCGGCGCAAGCUGAGAGGAAGGCGGGGAUGACGUCAAAUCAGCACGGCCCUUACGUCCGGGGCGACACACGUGUUACAAUGGCAGGUACAGAGAGAAGCCAGGUGGUGACACCGAGCGGAACUCGAAAGCCUGUCUCAGUUCGGAUCGGAGUCUGCAACCCGACUCCGUGAAGCUGGAUUCGCUAGUAAUCGCGCAUCAGCCAUGGCGCGGUGAAUACGUUCCCGGGCCU
rnacentral:rRNA from 1 species